UACGAAGGGGGCUAGCGUUGUUCGGAAUCACUGGGCGUAAAGGGCGCGUAGGCGGCUUUAUAAGUCGGGGGUGAAAGCCUGUGGCUCAACCACAGAAUUGCCUUCGAUACUGUAGAGCUUGAGACCGGAAGAGGUAAGUGGAACUGCGAGUGUAGAGGUGAAAUUCGUAGAUAUUCGCAAGAACACUAGUGGCGAAGGCGGCUUACUGGUCCGGUUCUGACGCUGAGGCGCGAAAGCGUGGGGAGCAAACAGG
rnacentral:rRNA from 1 species